UGCCUUUUCUUCUAUUUGCUAAGGGAGUUGAAAUUGAAAUAGUCCUUGCUUUCUCAACUCUGGAGUCUAAAUAGAGACUCUGGUGUGGAUAGAGGAGGGUUUUAUGCUUUUUUUUCAUGCAAUUUAGGCCAACAGGACAAUGUCUAUUUAGAAAUAAACCUUUGGAGUGGGAAGUACACUAUUCUGAAAGAAAAGACCUGCAUUUUGGGCAAAGUGCUGGUCUGGGGAACAUCAUUUAAAAUUUUUAGGACAUUUCUUUCUUUGUCCAAAAUCCAAAGAAUUUAGAGUAAAAUGUUAAGUUCUUUUCUAAGUUCUAAUAUUGGUCUUUAUUCCUCAAUCAUUAUGCUGCACCCUUCUUUUCUCAGAGCCUCGCAAAUGUGGCUUUUUAAAAAUAUAUAUGCAGGUGCAAAUGUUAUAUAUUUUAGCAUCUUGAGUUCCUGAUUCUGAGCAAAGGUUUUCAAAAGUGCAAAAUAUACCUCUUUUCAACCCCCCAACCCCCCACUCUCCCAACCUUUUGUGGAGCCUCCUGUAAGAAAGCUGCAGAGUGAACAGGACUCCAGUCUCUGCUGUUUCUUUUAAAAAUAAAGUACUGAAGUGUUGUGCUGGAAAUUCUGCUACUAAGUGUCGCAUGUGGUAGGUGUGAAUAUAUGCUUCAAUAGUUCCAGGCACAAGACCAAAAUCUUCCCCAGAAUUAGCAGAGUUUUCAGCUAUAAUCUGGCUAUCAUUUUUCUACAAAUAGGUACAAAGACCAAUUUGGGACUAUGUUCUCUGUAAGGGGUACCUCAUCAAGUUUCCACUGAAAUUUAGGACCAGCCCUAGUACAGUCAGGUGAUUUGAGGAAGGAUCAGUUGUGGAGAAGAAUUAUGUUGAAGUUGAGAGUUUUCUUCUCCUGAAACAUUUAAGUCACAUGUCUGAGGUGAGGAAUCUGUUACAUCUCAAAGCAAAUUUUUUCUUCUGCAUUACACUUGAACUGUUAUCUCUGUGUAAUGGGUACAGUUGUUGUUGUUAAGGAAACUGAUUAUUGAUUUUGCAGAAGUGGAUGGAAUGUGCAACUUUUGUCCUAUAAUUGUGUCACCAUUCCACAUGCUGCAGGCAUGGGCUUCUUUUUUUGUACCAGGGAUUGAACCCAGGGGCACUUAACCACUGAACCACAUCCCUAGCCCUUUUUAUAAUUUCAUUUUGAGACAGGGCCUCACUAAAUUGCUUAGGGCCUUGCUAAGUUGCUGAGGAUGGCUUCGAACUUGGGAUCCUCCUGCUUUAGCCUCCCAAGCUGCUGGAAUUACAGGCAUGUGUCACCGCACCCAGCUGGUGGAGUCCUUAUAAGAAGACAUUAGGACAUAGACAUUAAUAGAGGGAAGACCAUGUGAAGAUAUAGGGAGAAGGCAACAUCUAUAAGCCAAGAAACCAACUCUGCCAACACCAUGAUCUCAGACUUGAGCCUUCAGAACUGUGAGAAAGUAAAUUCUCUUUCUUUAAACCACCAGGCUGUGGUAUUUUGUUUUGGCAGCCCCAGAAAACCAAUAUAUGCUACUACUAGGCAACAAUCAAUUAUAAGCUGCCAUUUGAGGAUGCAGACUCAAAGGCACCAGAUUUUCCAGAGUAAAAUCUUUUGUUUUCGAGUAUUUGCAGCAGGGUUAGCUUCAUGUGACCUGUGCAGUCAUAUAAGGUCCUGUAUAUAGAAGUGGCCCACUGUCAUUUUAAAGCUCUCUUGUCAUCAUCUUAAAAAUUUUAAAUUUUCAUUAAGGCACCCACUCACCUGGCCCUCAAACUAUAUAAGUAGUUACAAACUAUGUAACUAGUCCUAGUUGACAAAAAUUAUAAAUUUAAAAUAUUCUGCAUGUUAAGAUUAUGGUGGAGUCAGGCAUGGUGGCACAUGCCUAUAAUACCAGCUAAUAGGGAUGCUGAGGCAGGAGAAUCCCAAGUUUGAAUGAGAUCAGCCCAAACAACUUAGUGAGAGCCUGUCUCAAAAUAAAGUUUAAAAAUGGCUGUUUUUUUAUGGCUAGUUCAGCAGUAGAGUCUUUGUUUAGCAUAUGCAAAGCCCCAAAUUUAGUUUCUAGUACUGGAAAAUAAAAAAGAAGUUAAUAAAUUAUUACGGGGACCCCCAAAAAACAUGACUGGAACUAGAGGCAGCCUGGGACACUGCACUGAACUUUCUGUUGCUAACUGGAAUAAGAUCUCCCAUUCCACAAUAAUCACAAGGAGGGAAUUUAUGAAGCCCAGAGGUUUUUCUGGAGUGGAAGAAAGUCACAGAUAUUCCCCAGAUGUGAUUUCCUGAGAUUCUACAUACGCUAAUGUGGUCCUGGCCAAGAUUUUUUUCUCAGGGUUGAGCUCUGAGAACUUCACAAUAUGAAGAUCUCGAGGAAAGGCCAAACAUAAGGACCAAAGUAUUUGGGGUCGAAAGCUAUAUCCUGCCUGAAAAUGACUACUGCUGGAAGCUUUUGCAGGUUCAUCCACCCAACCCUGAGUUGGGUUUUGGGAAACUAGAGCUGAGGAUGCCAUCCCGUAUGACUAGCAACACCCUGAGGGACCAUAUGGCCUUCUCUAAAAGCAAGACAGAACGGCAAGAAACAACAGUGAGAAUGGAUGAAUUUGCCUCCCGGUUCCUGCCUGGAGUUUGUAAGCAGGACUUUUCUCCCUUGUGCUGAACCAGUCCUGGGAUUCUUAAGGCAUUCUCAGUUGGGGCCUGCAAGACACACCAAAAGACUCCCGCAAGUCGUGUAAGGGAGAAAACGAAACACUCCACUGGCCUCUAUCAGGGGAAGUUAAUUUUUCCCCUUUUCUGCACAUUUUCAAAACUCUAUAACUCUAAUUUGCAGUACAGAAAAUAAGCUUUUAUAUUUAUUAUUUUUUAUGCUUUGGAUAUAGAGUAUUCCCAAAGGAACAAUGUGUUGUGCUAAGAGUUGUGAGCCUAUUGUGGGAAAGGCUGAGAUUAAGUUACUGCAAGAAGAAGUUCAUUUACACCUGCUUGGUGAUCUAGGAGCCCCAGGUCAGAGCAGCACCUACUUUCUUCCUCCCCACCAGGAAAGAGCAGAGUUGGGGGUGGUGAUCCCAAAAUUAAGACGUUUAGAAUUCUAUAUGUAGCUUUUCUAAGUCCUAAAUGACAAUUCCCUUAAUCAUUUGGAAUAUAAGAAACUUGGCUAAAGGUUUUAGCUUAAAGCCAUUAAUUUAAAAGAAAUGAAAACAUAGGUCUACAUAGAAACUUGUACAUGGAUGUUCACAGCAGAAUUUUCACAAUAGCCAAGAAAGGAAAAGAAUUCAAAUGUCUGUUAACUAAUGAAUGCAAAAGCAUAAUGUGGUACAUCCAUAAAAUGGAAUAUGUAACUAUUCAGCAAUAAAAAGAAAUGAAAUAUUGAUACAUUCAACAACAUGGAGGAACUGUAAAACAUCGUGCUAAUAAGCAAAUUACAAAUGAACACAUGUUGUAUGAUUCUGUAAUUGCAUGAUUCCAUAAUGGAAUUGUACAACAUGUAUUUGUGAUUAGUAUACAUAUCUAUAGAAACAGAAAGCAGACUAGUGGUUGGCUAGGUCUUGGGAAGAAAUAGGGGACAUUGGAGAGUGACAGCAAAGUGGUGCAGAGUUUCUUUGUGGGAUGAUAGAAAUGUUCUAAAAUUAAUUGAGGUGGCAGUUGUAUCACUUGGUGAAUGCAUUCAAAACCACUGAGUCUUGCUGUAAGAGUGAGUCCUAUGAUGUGUGAAUUAUAUCUCAAUAAAGACAUGAAAAGAUUUUUUAAAAAAUGAUACUUAAAAAAAAUAUCCACUGGUUUAUCUCUCUUUCUGAAGCUGAUCACUUUAGAAAAUGUGUUCAAAAUAAAAACAGAUUUUUAUGGGAUAACUGAAAUCAGAAUGUGAAAAAGUGAUUUUUUUCUUAGGUGGGAAGAUUAAUUUGCAUGUCCAUGUGUACUCAAAAUACCUGUACCUGUAAUUCUUUUGAACUUUGCUGAAAAUUUUUUCCUUAGCCUGCAAUCAUUAAAAUAUGUUUAAGCAAUCAUA